rnacentral:lncRNA from 1 species
AGAAAAUAAGUUUUCUGAAGAAGUGUCAGAACAAAAGAAUCACCAGAAAAGAAAAACGGGAAAGUGAAAGGGAGUGAAUGAAUCAUGAGAUGAAAUUAUGCUGGUUUUGUGCUCUCUUAUCCUUGAGGCUUUUUGAAUCCAUAGAAAAACAAUGACUUUUUGUAGCCCAGCCCCGUUACAAGCUUUAUGAAGUCCUUAGUGAUCCACGACUGAUAGCAUGUUUUGUUAUAUUGCUUGGAUGAAUGUUUGAAUUGAAUUGUUGCAUGCACAUUGCUUGGAUUGAGUGAAACACUUGCCCUUGAGUGAAAUAUUUGUGAGAAAUUUGUGAUAACACUUGAAUCUUAAUUGUUUGAUAAGAAUGUUGAGAAUUUUGCUUAGGCGUAGCAAUCACUUCAUGAUCAUGCUUUGUUUCUUUGAAUAUUUUAAGGAUUAGUCUUUAGUUGGCAUUGCUUUACUCAUGCUAGAAGAAGAAGAUUUUCAAACUUUGAUUGAUUACAAACCCACUCUUGAGAUUGCAAAUUUUGAGCUUGUCUAUAUUUUGAUAUUACCUUUUGUUUGAGGACAAACAAAGUCCUAAGUUGGGGAGAGUUGAUAAGUGCUAAAUUUCAGUGAUUUUACCUAUACAUUUUAAGCACUUAUUGACUUAUUUUAUAAG